rnacentral:snoRNA from 1 species
AACAUCAAUCGCAUAUUUCAUCUUUCAAUUAAAGGUAUGAUUUUAAUAAUAAUUUGUUUUUUAAAAUCAUAUCGAAAGAAUUCAAUGGAAUAAAAGCGUAGAUUAAAGAACGUUACUGGGCGCCCGAUGUUGAAUCCUAACUCUUGAGAUAUUGGGAAUCAGUUGUUUCGACAUUC